CGUGUGAUCUUCGGAUCCUACUAGUUGCGCCGAGGCAGUCCCAAUUAAAGAAAUCGAUGCGGAAACCAUCGCAGCAACAUUUUUAUGGACAUGGAUCACACGUUACGGAGUAUCUCUCCGAGUCACGACAGAUCAAGGCC